rnacentral:rRNA from 1 species
GACGAACGCUGGCGGCGUGCUUUAGGCAUGCAAGUCGAACGCGAAAGCCCCUUCGGGGGUGAGUAGAGUGGCGAACGGGUGAGUAACACGUGGGUAACCUGCCCCUCUCAGGGGGAUAACCGGGGGAAACCCCGGCUAAUACCCCGUACGCUCGCUGGGGCGCAUGCUCCGGCAAGGAAAGGUAGCUUCGGCCAUCCGGCGAGGGAGGGGCCCGCGGCCCAUUAGCUAGUUGGUGGGGUAACGGCCCACCAAGGCGACGAUGGGAAGCUGGCCUGAGAGGGGAGUCGGCCAAGCUGGGCUGGAGCAACGGCCAGGACUCCUACGGGGGGAGGAGGGCAGAAAACUUGCGCAAUGGGGGAAGGCUGGACGAGGCAACGCGGCGUGGGGGAGGAGGGCUUUCGGGUGGUAAAGCCCUGUUGUCGGGAACGAAGGGCGCAGGGUUAAUAGCCCCUAGCCUGACGGUACCCGACGAGGAAGCCCCGGCUAACUACGUG